UACGAAGGGAGCUAGCGUUGUUCGGAAUCACUGGGCGUAAAGCGCACGUAGGCGGAUGUGUCAGUCAGGGGUGAAAUCCCGGAGCUCAACUUCGGAACUGCCUUUGAUACAGCACGUCUUGAGUCCGAUAGAGGUGGGUGGAAUUCCUAGUGUAGAGGUGAAAAUUCGUAGAUAUUAGGAAGAAACACCGGUGGCGAAGGCGGCCCACUGGAUCGGGUACUGACGCUGAGGUGCGAAAAGCGUGGGGGAGCAAACAGG
rnacentral:rRNA from 1 species